UUUACCCACUAGGGGAGCCCAUAAAUGAUAGGGCUGAGAUCAAAGUGAUUCUUUGAGACCCUUAGAACCUGAUCUGGAUUAUACCAGCGUAGGGAAGUGGAUAAGUGUAUCG
rnacentral:ncRNA from 2 species